CCGGGAUGUUCAUAACCCUUUGUUGUCCGACUCUGUUGCCUCCGGGGCGACCCUGCCUUCGGGCGGGGGCUCCGGGUGGACACUUCAAACUCUUGCGUAACUUUGCAGUCUGAGUAAACUUAAUUAAUAAAUUAAAACUUUUAACAACGGAUCUCUUGGUUCUGGCAUCGAUGAAGAACGCAGCGAAAUGCGAUAAGUAAUGUGAAUUGCAGAAUUCAGUGAAUCAUCGAAUCUUUGAACGCACAUUGCGCCCCCUGGUAUUCCGGGGGGCAUGCCUGUUCGAGCGUCAUUUCACCACUCAAGCCUCGCUUGGUAUUGGGCAACGCGGUCCGCCGCGUGCCUCAAAUCGACCGGCUGGGUCUUCUGUCCCCUAAGCGUUGUGGAAACUAUUCGCUAAAGGGUGUUCGGGAGGCUACGCCGUAAAACAACCCCAUUUCUAAGG
rnacentral:sRNA from 1 species